rnacentral:tRNA from 1 species
UCCCUGAUAGUCCAGUGGUUAGGACUCUGCUGCCACUGCAGGGGCCAUGGGUUCAAUCCCUGGUUGGGGAA